AUAAAAUCUUUCAAUUGGAUAAAUAGCCUUAUAAAAAAUAAAAUUGGCAAAUUAAUUCUUCUUUCGUCAUGUAAGAACCACGUCAGAAUUUUUCUUAAAGACAGCGAAUGUUUCACUGUCUUCGUGAUCCUAAUUUUUCACAAAAAUAGUGAAUUAUUUGCCGUCUUUUCCUUAUCACAAAAGUGAUAAAUUAUUCACUGUCUUUCUUUUAUUUACUUUAUAUUUCAUAUAUAAUCCUGACAACCAUAUAAAAAUUUUAACAAAAUCAUAUAUAAUCUUAACAACUUAAAAAUCUUAUAAUUUAUUCAUAUAAUUCUAACAAUCAAAUAAUUUAAUAAAAUUAUAAUAAUCCACGUAUAAUUUUAAUAAUCUUAUUUUUGCAGAACGAUUCACCAUUUUUAAAAAAAAUUUCACCAGUUAUUUUAUUAAUUUUUUUUAGUAGAAUUAUUUAGUAAAUUAUAAUAUUCGGGGUUAUUUGGAAAAAAA
rnacentral:lncRNA from 1 species